GGAAGGAAUAUAAACGCUGCCUUUUAAUUCCAUCCCAGAUGCAUCUUGAAACAAAGACAAUGAAAGAAACAAAAAGAAAACAUCUGAAACAAUUCACGAACAGCUGUUUCUCACAGCACCAAGUGAACAGAAGGAGUCAUUGAUGUGACUGCCGCAGCAGUCAGAAAAAGACUCAGGAAAUUAGAGAAAUAAACAUAAAGCUAGCAUACUUAUGCUGGAAUGUGGCCUGUUCAACUUCAACUACAGCUGCAUGCUAUAAAAAUAAAGCCUACCCAACUCCGCAUUUAUAUACUGAGCCAUCCACACAACCAGAAUCCACAUCAUGAAAAGUAUCGCCAAAUACUGGGAGAACAAAACAGUCAUAGAAUUCCAAACAGAAGCCUGACUAUGAACAUAGACACCUGGGCAGAAUUCCACAAUGCCAAGGAGACCCGGCUUGCAGGUCUGCCUGCUUCAGCCUUUGACUUUUAUCCUAUCCUUACUGUUCUGGUAUUUUGAGUCUGAGCUGUUAAAAGCUGAAUAUCGUAUAA